rnacentral:rRNA from 1 species
UACGUAGGGUGCAAGCGUUUAAUCGGAAUUACUGGGCGUAAAGCGUGCGCAGGCGGUCCGUUAAGACAGAUGUGAAAAUCCCCGGGGCUUUAACCUGGGAACUGCAUUUGUGACUGGCGGACUCGAGUAGUGGCAGAGGGGGGUAGAAUUCCACGUGUAGCAGUGAAAUGCGUAGAGAUGUGGAGGAAUACCGAUGGCGAAGGCAGCCCCCUGGGAUAACACUGACGCUCAUGCAC